rnacentral:rRNA from 1 species
AUACGGAGGAUGCAAGCGUUAUCCGGAUUUAUUGGGUUUAAAGGGUGCGUAGGCGGUUUGCUAAGCGGGAGGUGAAAUGCCGGCGCUCAACGUCGGAAGUGCCUCCCGAACUGGUGGACUGGAAUGACUCUGCCGUGGGAGGAAUGUGUAGUGUAGCGGUGAAAUGCUUAGAGAUUACACAGAACACCGAUUGCGAAGGCAUCUCACGAAGGGUUGAUUGACGCUGAGGCACGAAAGCGUUGGGAUCAAACAGGAUUAGAUACCCUGGUAGUCCACGCAGUAAACGAUGAUGGCUAACCGCUGGUUUUUUCGGAUCAGUGGCCAAGCGAAAGCGAUAAGCCAUCCACCUGGGGAGUACGACCGCAAGGUUGAAACUCAAAUGAAUUGACGGGG